UUGAACGCUGGCGGUAGGCCUAACACAUGCAAGUCGAGCGCGAAAGUGCCUUCGGGUGCGAGUAGAGCGGCGGACGGGUGCGUAACGCGUAGGAAUCUGCCUGGUAGUGGGGGAUAACUCGGGGAAACUCGAGCUAAUACCGCAUACGCCCCAUGGGGGAAAGCGGGGGACCUUCGGGCCUCGCGCUAUCAGAUGAGCCUGCGUCGGAUUAGCUAGUUGGUAGGGUAAUGGCCUACCAAGGCGACGAUCCGUAGCUGGUCUGAGAGGAUGAUCAGCCACACUGGGACUGAGACACGGCCCAGACUCCUACGGGAGGCAGCAGUGGGGAAUAUUGGACAAUGGGGGCAACCCUGAUCCAGCCAUACCGCGUGUGUGAAGAAGGCCUUAGGGUUGUAAAGCACUUUCAGUGGGGAGGAAAAGUUGCCGGCGAAUACCCGGCGACCGUGACGCUACCUGCAGAAGAAGCACCGGCAAACUCCGU
rnacentral:rRNA from 1 species